UAACGGUGGGUGCAUUGAAUCUUCGCAC
rnacentral:piRNA from 1 species